CCCUUAGUUAUCCUAGGUCGCACGCGCCAUACAAUGUGGCGCACAACGAGUCUCCUUGGCCGACAGGAUGUCCCGCGAGCGAUCGGCGACGCAGCCAGCUCGGUCUUCGGGCAGACUCGGUGAGAGUGGCCCGUCCUCCUGAGAGGGCGAUCGUCGAUGCCUCGGGAUUCUGGGUAAUCUGGCAGAGCGCUACGUGACUGGGCUAGACUUUUGUAAUUUUUGGUCUUGAACGAGGAAUGCCUAGUAAUCGCAGGUCAGCAUCCUGCGAUGAUUCGGUCCCUGCCCUUUGUACACACCGCCCGUCGCUCCAUCCGUGGCAUGCGCCGGUGAAGAGGGGGAGGCAGCGUCGGCCGUGUAACAGCGGAUCGUACGUGGAACCCCUCUGAACCUUCGCACGUAGAGGAAGGAGAAGUCGUAACA
rnacentral:rRNA from 1 species